AUUGAACGCUGGCGGCAUGCCUUACACAUGCAAGUCGAACGGCAGCACGGGACUCGGGCAACUGAGCCCUGGUGGCGAGUGGCGAACGGGUGAGUAAUGCAUCGGAACGUACCCAGUAGUGGGGGAUAACUAGUCGAAAGAUUAGCUAAUACCGCAUACGACCUAUGGGUGAAAGCGGGGGAUUCGCAAGAACCUCGCGCUAUCGGAGCGGCCGAUGUCUGAUAGCUAGUUGGCGGGGUAAAAGCCCACCAAGGCUUCGAUCAGUAGCUGGUCUGAGAGGACGACCAGCCACACUGGGACUGAGACACGGCCCAGACUCCUACGGGAGGCAGCAGUGGGGAAUUUUGGACAAUGGGCGCAAGCCUGAUCCAGCCAUGCCGCGUGCGGGAAGAAGGCCU
rnacentral:rRNA from 1 species